GGGUGAGUAACACGUGANNNUUUGCCUUUAGGAGGGGGAUAACAAUUGGAAACGAAUGCUAAUACCCCAUAUGCUUCUUAGUGAAAUGGAUUUUAUCCGCCUAAAGAGAAGCUCGCGGCUGAUUAGCUUGUUGGUAAGGUAAGAGCUUACCAAGGCGACGAUCAGUAUCUGGUUUGAGAGGACGAUCAGACACACUGGAACUGAGACACGGUCCAGACUCCUACGGGAGGCAGCAGUGGGGAAUUUUCCGCAAUGGGCGAAAGCCUGACGGAGCAAUACCGCGUGAGGGAAGACUGCCCAUGGGUUGUAAACCUCUUUUUUCAGGGAGGAAUAAAAUGACGUGUACCUGAAGAAUAAGCAUCGGCUAACUCCGUGCCAGCAGCCGCGGUAAGACGGAGGAUGCAAGUGUUAUCCGGAAUCACUGGGCGUAAAGCGUCUGUAGGUGGUUUAAUAAGUCAACUGUUAAAUCUUGAGGCUCAACUUCAAAACCGCAGUCGAAACUAUUAGACUAGAGUAUAGUAGAGGUAAAGGGAAUUUC
rnacentral:rRNA from 1 species